rnacentral:rRNA from 1 species
GAAACCGUGUACGUACAAGCAGUGGGAGCACGCUUAGGCGUGUGACUGCGUACCUUUUGUAUAAUGGGUCAGCGACUUAUAUUCUGUAGCAAGGUUAACCGAAUAGGGGAGCCGAAGGGAAACCGAGUCUUAACUGGGCGUUAAGUUGCAGGGUAUAGACCCGAAACCCGGUGAUCUAGCCAUGGGCAGGUUGAAGGUUGGGUAACACUAACUGGAGGACCGAACCGACUAAUGUUGAAAAAUUAGCGGAUGACUUGUGGCUGGGGGUGAAAGGCCAAUCAAACCGGGAGAUAGCUGGUUCUCCCCGAAAGCUAUUUAGGUAGCGCCUCGUGAAUUCAUCUCCGGGGGUAGAGCACUGUUUCGGCAAGGGGGUCAUCCCGACUUACCAACCCGAUGCAAACUGCGAAUACCGGAGAAUGUUAUCACGGGAGACACACGGCGGGUGCUAACGUCCGUCGUGAAGAGGGAAACAACCCAGACCGCCAGCUAAGGUCCCAAAGUCAUGGUUAAGUGGGAAACGAUGUGGGAAGGCCCAGACAGCCAGGAUGUUGGCUUAGAAGCAGCCAUCAUUUAAAGAAAGCGUAAUAGCUCACUGGUCGAGUCGGCCUGCGCGGAAGAUGUAACGGGGCUAAACCAUGCACCGAAGCUGCGGCAGCGACGCUUAUGCGUUGUUGGGUAGGGGAGCGUUCUGUAAGCCUGUGAAGGUGUACUGUGAGGUAUGCUGGAGGUAUCAGAAGUGCGAAUGCUGACAUAAGUAACGAUAAAGCGGGUGAAAAGCCCGCUCGCCGGAAGACCAAGGGUUCCUGUCCAACGUUAAUCGGGGCAGGGUGAGUCGACCCCUAAGGCGAGGCCGAAAGGCGUAGUCGAUGGGAAACAGGUUAAUAUUCCUGUACUUGGUGUUACUGCGAAGGG